rnacentral:rRNA from 1 species
UACGCAGGGGGCUAGCGUUGCUCGGAAUCACUGGGCGUAAAGCGCACGUAGGCGGAUCCUUAAGUCGGGGGUGAAAUCCUGGAGCUCAACUCCAGAACUGCCUUCGAUACUGAGGAUCUCGAGUCCGGGAGAGGUGAGUGGAACUGCGAGUGUAGAGGUGAAAUUCGUAGAUAUUCGCAAGAACACCAGGGGCGAAGGCGGCUCACUGGCCCGGUACUGACGCUGAGGUGCGAAAGCGUGGGGAGCAAACAGG